AUUGAACGCUGGCGGCAUGCUUUACACAUGCAAGUCGAACGGCAGCGCGGGCUUCGGCCUGGCGGCGAGUGGCGAACGGGUGAGUAAUGCAUCGGAACGUGCCCAGUAGUGGGGGAUAGCCCGGCGAAAGCCGGAUUAAUACCGCAUACGACCUGAGGGUGAAAGCGGGGGACCGAAAGGCCGCGCGCUAUUGGAGCGGCAGAUGUCGGAUUAGCUAGUUGGUGGGGUAAAGGCUUACCAAGGCGACGAUCCGUAGCUGGUCUGAGAGGACGACCAGCCACACUGGGACUGAGACACGGCCCAGACUCCUACGGGAGGCAGCAGUGGGGAAUUUUGGACGAUGGGGGCAACCCUGAUCCAGACAUGCCGCGUGCGGGCAGAAGGCCUUCGGGUUUUAAACCGCUUUUGUUCGGGAAGAAAUCCUCUGGGCUAAUACCCCGGGGGGAUGACGGUACCGGAAGAAUAAGCACCGGCUAACUACGUG
rnacentral:rRNA from 1 species